AUGGCAGCGUUGAAAAGUGUAAGAAAAAAAAAAAGAAGAAGAAGAAGAAGAAGAAGAAGAAAGAAGAACAUCAACAGCAGAAAAGAAAGCCUAAACAGCCAAGAGAGAGCGGACUGAGAACUACUCACGGUACAGACAGCUGGUCGACCCCCGAUCGGGUAACUGGUCAACCCGCCGCAUGGAGAGACGGACGGACAACUGGUCGACCUUCGCCACCGGUGGCUGCCGGCGUCCGUCCUCUCCGGCGGGGACGGCGGGGGACCGCCGCCUCCCGAGAGACCCCCCCGGCGGCGCGCGGCGACGACCGCCCGCCGCCGCCGCCCCGCGGCCCGCACCCCCCCCGGGGGGGAGGGAGGGGGACGGGGACGGGGCGGGGGAGGGCGGCCGCGCGCACGCGCGCGCGCGCGGGGAGAGGAGACGGGCGACGGGCCGCGGGGGCGGGCCCGGGCGGAGGGGGGUCGCCCCGGGCGUGGGGGGGGGAGAGCGCGGCGACGGGUCCUGGCUCCUCGCCCCGGGAUUCGGCGAUCGCUGCUGCCGGGGCGGGGGACCCCCGGGCCACCUUCCCCGCCGGGGCCUUCCCAGCCGUCCCGGAGCCGGUCGCGGCGCACCGCCGCGGUGGAAGUGCGCCCGGCGGCGGCCGGUCGCGGCCGGGGGCGGUCCCCCCCGACCACCCCCGGCCCCGCC
rnacentral:lncRNA from 1 species